AUUGAACGCUGGCGGCAGGCUUAACACAUGCAAGUCGAGCGGAGAUGAGGUGCUUGCACCUUAUCUUAGCGGCGGACGGGUGAGUAAUGCUUAGGAAUCUGCCUAUUAGUGGGGGACAACAUUCCGAAAGGAAUGCUAAUACCGCAUACGUCCUACGGGAGAAAGCAGGGGAUCUUCGGACCUUGCGCUAAUAGAUGAGCCUAAGUCGGAUUAGCUAGUUGGGGGGGUAAAGGCCUACCAAGGCGACGAUCUGUAGCGGGUCUGAGAGGAUGAUCCGCCACACUGGGACUGAGACACGGCCCAGACUCCUACGGGAGGCAGCAGUGGGGAAUAUUGGACAAUGGGGGGAACCCUGAUCCACCCAUGCCGCGUGUGUGAAGAAGGCCUUAUGGUUGUAAAGCACUUUAAGCGAGGAGGAGGCUACUGAGACUAAUACUCUUGGAUAGUGGACGUUACUCGCAGAAUAAGCACCGGCUAACUCUGUGCCAGCCGCCGCAGUAAGAC
rnacentral:rRNA from 1 species